rnacentral:rRNA from 1 species
AUUGAACGCUGGCGGCAGGCCUAACACAUGCAAGUCGAGCGGAUGAAGGGAGCUUGCUCCUGGAUUCAGCGGCGGACGGGUGAGUAAUGCCUAGGAAUCUGCCUGGUCGUGGGGGAUAACGUCCGGAAACGGGCCCUAAUACCGCAUACGUCCUGAGGGUGAACGUGGGGGUUCUUCGGACCUCACGCUAUCAGAUGAGCCUAGGUCGGAUUAGCUAGUUGGUGGGGUAAAGUCCUACCAAGGCGACGAUCCGUAACUGGUCUGAGAGGAUGAUCAGUCACAGUGGAACUGAGACACGGUCCAGACUCCUACGGGAGGCAGCAGUGGGGAAUAUUGGACAAUGGGCGAAAGCCUGAUCCAGCCAUGCCGCGUGUGUGAAGAAGGUCUUCGGAUUGUAAAGCACUUUAAGUUGGGAGGAAGGGCAGUAAGUUAAUACCUUGCUGUUUUGACGUUACCAACAGAAUAAGCACCGGCUAACUUCGUG